AUUGAACGCUGGCGGCAGGCCUAACACAUGCAAGUCGAGCGGCAGCACAAGUGAGUUUACUCAUGAGGUGGCGAGCGGCGGACGGGUGAGUAAUGCCUAGGGAUCUGCCCAGUCGAGGGGGAUAACAGUUGGAAACGACUGCUAAUACCGCAUACGCCCUACGGGGGAAAGGAGGGGACCUUCGGGCCUUCCGCGAUUGGAUGAACCUAGGUGGGAUUAGCUAGUUGGUGAGGUAAUGGCUCACCAAGGCGACGAUCCCUAGCUGUUCUGAGAGGAUGAUCAGCCACACUGGGACUGAGACACGGCCCAGACUCCUACGGGAGGCAGCAGUGGGGAAUAUUGCACAAUGGGGGAAACCCUGAUGCAGCCAUGCCGCGUGUGUGAAGAAGGCCUUCGGGUUGUAAAGCACUUUCAGCGAGGAGGAAAGGUUGGUAGCUAAUAACUGCCAGCUGUGACGUUACUCGCAGAAGAAGCACCGGCUAACUCCGUGCCAGCCGCCGCCGUAACAC
rnacentral:rRNA from 1 species